GUGCAGCAAGGAAGAUGCAUUGCACGACAAAGUAGAAAAGUGUAUUGUUACAGCCGCUUGAUUAUCCAAAACCACAUAAUCCAACGGAUGGAGAAGGGCUGCACUUCUGCUUGUGAUCACAUAACAGAGCACGCAAAUGGUAAUAUGAGUGUGACCUGGUGCUGUCGAACUGGAGAGCUUUGCAAUUAUGACAACAU